CCCCAUAGAGUGUAGUAUCGUAUAGUUCUGUAGAAGAAGACAAAUUGUAAACCAUCCCUUUACUAUUGUACUUCACUUUGAUGACAUAGUUAAAUUUCUGUCUUGAUUUGCCAGAAAAGGAGAAUGCUACGGGGAUUAAAUUUGGAUACGAAUAAUUGACCAUUUCGUUCAAGAUCAAGUCAAGUCUACAAAUAUCGCUACUAUGCCGCGCUGACCGUUUAAAUUGAAAACCCCAACUGCGAGGGAACAACGAAGUGAAUGAUUUUUUGAGCACUUUAAUAUAAAACCCCUUUAAGGCAACCGACAGAAAUGCUUGAAUCCAUUCAGGAGAUGGUGGCGGUGGGCGGGGCUGGCAUGGCGUGAAUGUCUCACUAGUGAACAUGUUGCUUGAAUUAAAAAAGCAUAACCAAAACUACAUAAGCCACCUCUUUUAAAAACACACCAGAAUCUACUAAAAACAGCUUAAAAAUGUGUUAUAUGGUCAAAUUAUGUCUGCAGCCUUAAUAUCGUUUUUUCCCGCAAUUUGGUGUCACGUCACAAUAUAAAAUUUAAUUCAAGUCGCCAGCGUCAAAAUUUUCAUUUUUUAAUUUGCUAUACUUCCUAUACAACGGGGCUCGAAUCAACAGAAAUGAUAAUUUCGUGAUAAAACUCGUCCGAUGUCACAUUGCCCAACAACAACCGUCCAACAAUUAAAUUUUCGCGGUGUUCCAUCCGAACAACGAGUAUUUUGAGAGUGCACGCCUGAGCGGGUUCAUUCCACCAGAAGCAUUCCUCUUCUUAGAUAGAUGCGGUCUAAUACAGGAUAGAUUGGUAGUUUCGCUAAUCUACCACGUCAGACGACGUUAUGUAGAUAGGCGAAUCCUGUACAAUCGGGACGUCAGAGAUCAAGGCGGAGCAGAGCUCCUUCGGUUCAGUAUAGGGCUGCGUCCGAACGGGACCGAACUGAUAGAGAACCAGUUUUGGUGGCUUCAAUCGGCCCUUGAUAGUGGUAGUGGGGUUUGGGCUUAAGCCUUGGCCGUCUUACAUACUUGUUUUAUAGUUUCAGAGUUUAGUUUAAUGUAGAAUAGGCACAAAGUGGUACAAAAAAAAAAAUAAUGAAAACAAAAAACAUGAAAAGCAAAUUUAAAAAAAAAAAUGUAAAAUAGUUAGAUUUGGUGCUAUGGUUGUUCUAGUUUAUAGGUAGAAUAGGUAAUUUAAGUUAGUUAAAUUUAGUUUUAGCCUUUAUUUUAGGACCUAAUUUUAAGUAGUUUUUAAGUAAAAUUAAAAAAAAAGAUAUUAAAAUUAUUUUCUUCUUUAAAUUUUCUAAUAAAUAAAAGUGACUUGAAGAAAAAUAGAUCUUUUGGUCGAAAGGCAUUAGUAUUAAGUAUUAUAGCAUGACUUAUACAGCGUACAUAUGGGAUCAGUAAAUUAGUUGUAAGUUAGGUUUAAUAAGGCUAGUUUUAUGAAUUUUUGUCUAGCUUUAAGAUAGUUAUAAACAAAAAUGAAUUUAAAAAAU